rnacentral:rRNA from 1 species
AACGAACGCUGGCGGCGCGUCUUAAGCAUGCAAGUCGAACGGCAAGAGAGAAGCUUGCUUCUCUCCUAGAGUGGCGGACUGGUGAGGAACACGUGGGUAAUCUACCCUUAAGAUAGGGAUAGCUGCUAGAAAUAGCAGGUAAUACCGAAUACACUCAGUUUUUCAUAAGAAGGAUUGAGGAAAGGAAGCUACGGCUUCGCUUGAGGAUGAGCUUGCGUCCCAUUAGCUUGUUGGUGAGGUAACGGCCCACCAAGGCGACGAUGGGUAUCCGGCCUGAGAGGGUGAUCGGACACAUUGGGACUGAGAUACGGCCCAAACUCCUACGGGAGGCAGCAGCUAAGAAUAUUCCGCAAUGGACGAAAGUCUGACGGAGCGACGCCGCGUGGAUGAAGAAGGCUGAAAAGUUGUAAAAUCCUUUUGUUGAUGAAGAAUAAGGGUGAGAGGGAAUGUUCAUCUGAUGACGGUAAUCAGCGAAUAAGCCCCG